rnacentral:misc_RNA from 1 species
AAGUCGUAACAAGGUCUCCGUUGGUGAACCAGCGGAGGGAUCAUUACCGAGUUUACAAACUCCCAAACCCCAGUGUGAACGCUACCGAACCGUUGCCUCGGCGGGACUUCUGCCCCGGGCGCGUCGCAGCCCCGGACCAAGGCGCCCGCCGGAGGACCGAAGAAACUCUCAUGCAUAUCCCGCCGCGGAUUCUCUCGAAAAAACGAUCUGAGCCUUUCCGGGCGCUCCCAGCGAGCCGCCCGAAAAUGAAUCAAAACUUUCAACAACGGAUCUCUUGGUUCUG